AUUGAACGCUGGCGGCAGGCCUAACACAUGCAAGUCGAGCGGAUGAAGGGAGCUUGCUCCUGGAUUCAGCGGCGGACGGGUGAGUAAUGCCUAGGAAUCUGCCUGGUAGUGGGGGAUAACGUCCGGAAACGGGCGCUAAUACCGCAUACGUCCUGAGGGAGAAAGUGGGGGAUCUUCGGACCUCACGCUAUCAGAUGAGCCUAGGUCGGAUUAGCGAGUUGGUGGGGUAAAGGCCUACCAAGGCGACGAUCCGUAACUGGUCUGAGAGGAUGAUCAGUCACACUGGAACUGAGACACGGUCCAGACUCCUACGGGAGGCAGCAGUGGGGAAUAUUGGACAAUGGGCGAAAGCCUGAUCCAGCCAUGCCGCGUGUGUGAAGAAGGUCUUCGGAUUGUAAAGCACUUUAAGUUGGGAGGAAGGGCAGUAAGUUAAUACCUUGCUGUUUUGACGUUACCAACAGAAUAAGCACCGGCUAACUUCGUG
rnacentral:rRNA from 1 species